GACGAACGCUGGCGGCGUGCUUAACACAUGCAAGUCGAACGGAAAGGCCCUGCUUUUGUGGGGUGCUCGAGUGGCGAACGGGUGAGUAACACGUGAGUAUCCUGCCCUUGACUUUGGGAUAACUUCAGGAAACUGGGGCUAAUACCGGAUAGGAGCUCCUGCUGCAUGGUGGGGGUUGGAAAGUUUCGGCGGUUGGGGAUGGACUCGCGGCUUAUCAGCUUGUUGGUGGGGUAGUGGCUUACCAAGGCUUUGACGGGUAGCCGGCCUGAGAGGGUGACCGGCCACAAUGGGACUGAGAUACGGAGCAGACGCCUACGGGAGGCAGCAGUGGGGAAUAUUGCACAAUGGGCGGAAGCCUGAGGCAGCAACGCCGCGUGCGGGAUGACGGCCUUCGGGUUGUAAACCGCUUUCGCCUGUGACGAAGCGUGAGUGACGGUAAUGGGUAAAGAAGCACCGGCUAACUACGUG
rnacentral:rRNA from 1 species